rnacentral:rRNA from 1 species
UACGGAGGGGGCUAGCGUUGUUCGGAAUUACUGGGCGUAAAGCGCACGUAGGCGGCUUUGCAAGUCAGAGGUGAAAGCCCGGGGCUCAACCCCGGAAUUGCCUUUGAGACUGCAUCGCUAGAAUUGUGGAGAGGUAAGUGGAAUUCCGAGUGUAGAGGUGAAAUUCGUAGAUAUUCGGAAGAGCACCAGUGGCGAAGGCGGCAUCCUGGACCAACACUGACACUGAGGAGCGAAAGCCAGGGGAGCAAACGGG